rnacentral:rRNA from 1 species
AUGGGUUUGCUUGGAGAUGCACGGUGUUGUGAUCCGAGGAGUUUGCCGUAUGUGAAGACUGAUGUGACAAAUGCAAGAGCAAAGCUGCGAAGGGGCCUGUCAGAGCGUGACUUGGAGCUAACAAUCGAGUACUUUGAGAGAAGACAAGUGGAGAAUCCCAACUUCUUUUUCUCGAAGCUACAAGAAGAUGGAGCUGUUAGGGCGCUUUUCUGGGUUGAUGGGAGAACAAGGGCCCUGUAUCCAAAGUACAAAGAUUGUUUGUUUUUUGACACCACAUUCUGCACAAAUCGCUACAACUUGCCCUUUGCUCCGAUUGUUGGCAUUAACAACCACACACACACUGUUUGCUUGGGGUGUGCUUUGUUGCCUGAUGAGACCAUUGAAACUUUCAAGUGGGUCUUCCAGCAAUGAAUGUUGGCAAUGAAUAAUGAGCAUCCAUUGAACAUUAUGACUGAUCAAGACCAGGCAAUGGCUACAGCCAUCUCAAUGGUAUUUCCAGAUUCAACACACAGAUGUUGCAAGUGGCACGUCUUACGGGUUGCAAGGACAAAACUAGGGAGGAUGCUGGGCAAGGAUGAGCCAUUUGCAGAAGCAUUUUAUGGUUGCAUUAAUGGUUCAGAUACCGUUGAGGAGUUUUAA